rnacentral:lncRNA from 1 species
CAGCUCGGGGAUAGACUGUGCAAGGAGGUGACUGCUGGGGUUUCUGGAAACAUUCCCAGUCCCUGGCGUGUUCAUCAGGAUUGUUGUAUUUCUUCUGCUGAAAAGAGGAAAAUUGCCCRUUACCAUAUAGAAGACUAAAAUGGGAGCCUAGAUCCGUAUUUGCAAACCAGCCUGGACAAGAGUUUGCUGUCUUGCUGUUCACCUCUGCUGAGCUGCAGUGCAGCCUUUUAUCGCCUCCCAUAUCAGGCCCUCUUUUAGCGGCACCUUGUAAGCCCGGAUUUGUGGUGUUUUUGAGGACGAAUCCCCUGAAAUCCCACGAGUGCUCGGGGCACUGC